rnacentral:rRNA from 1 species
UACGGGGGGGGCAAGCGUUGUUCGGAAUUACUGGGCGUAAAGGGCUCGUAGGUGGCCAACUAAGUCAGACGUGAAAUCCCUCGGCUUAACCGGGGAACUGCAUCUGAUACUGGAUGGCUUGAGAUUGGGAGAGGGAUGCGGAAUUCCAGGUGUAGCGGUGAAAUUCGUAGAUAUUGGGAAGAACACCGGUGGCGAAGGCGGCUCACUGGCUCGUAACUGACGCUCAUGCACGACAGCGUGGGGAGCAAACAGG